AGUAAUGUAUGGGGAUCUGCCUGAUGGGGGGGGAGUAACUACUGGAAACGGUAGCUAAUACCGCAUAAUGUCUGCGGACCAAAGCGGGGGGACCUCCGGGCCUCGCGCCAUCAGAUGAACCCAUAUGGGAUUAGCUUGUAGGUAAGGUAACGGCUUACCUAGGCGACGAUCCCUAGCUGGUCUGAGAGGAUGAUCAGCCACACUGGGACUGAGACACGGCCCAG
rnacentral:rRNA from 1 species